UACAGAGGGUGCAAGCGUUGUCCGGAAUCACUGGGCGUAAAGGGCGCGUAGGCGGCCUGAUAAGUCGGGGGUGAAAUUCUGCGGCUUAACCGCAGGACGGCCUUCGAGACUGUCGGGCUUGAGCACGGUAGAGGCAGGUGGAAUUCCCGGUGGAGCGGUGAAAUGCGUAGAGAUCGGGAAGAACGCCAAGGGCGAAGGCACUCUGCUAGGCCUGAUUUCGCGACUGACACUCAGGGACGAGAGCCAGGGGAGCGAAUGGG
rnacentral:rRNA from 1 species